rnacentral:rRNA from 1 species
UACGGGGGGGGUAAGCGUUGUUCGGAAUUACUGGGCGUAAAGGGCUCGUAGGCGGCCAACUAAGUCAGACGUGAAAUCCCUCAGCUUAACUGGGGAACUGCGUCUGAUACUGGAUGGCUUGGAUUCGGGAGAGGAAUGCGGAAUUCCUGGUGUAGCGGUGGAAUGCGCAGAUAUCAGGAGGAACACCAAUAGCGAAGGCAGCUCGCUGGGACGGUAUUGACGCUGAGGCGCGAAAGCGUGGGGAGCAAACAGG